GCCCAUAAGAAAAGAAUGUAUCACUAAAGAUGGUACUACAACAUCUAGCUUUGCCCAAGUAUCAAUAAUUUUUAUUUUUAAUUCAUCAAUAAAAGUUUUUUUAUUGAAAAUCAAAUCAAGUCUCCUAUCAUAAUACUUAUUGAGUUAGAAUUAAUGUUCUUAAUUAGUUGCAAAAUAACUCGAACCACCACACUUCUGUUGCAUACUCUAAUCUAAAUUUACCAAA
rnacentral:lncRNA from 1 species